rfam:Camelus ferus unplaced genomic scaffold scaffold2349, whole genome shotgun sequence.
GAGGGUAUAGCUCAAGUGGUAGAGCGCAUGCUUAGCAUGCGUGCAGUCCUGGGUUCAAUCCCCAGUACCUCCU